rnacentral:lncRNA from 1 species
ACGCACCCCGCGCCCACAGCCGCAGCGCGCCGGGGCCGGCGACGGUGGGCUGGGAACCCGCCACGAGGGCACGCAGCCACCCCCGGCACGUCCUCUGGAGACUGGCUCACUGCACCCCUCUGUGGAUAAAGCUCAAUAUCCAGUUCAGGAAAUGGGAAACACUGAUAUAUGACUCAUCCCAUGGAACAGAAUAUAGUCUACGUGGAAUGUCACACUGUGCUUCUAGUGGCAAAGUUUGCAUAUAUGUAUGUAUCAGUGUAUCUUUAAAUUUGCCUUUGUGUUGCAAGCACUUGUUAUAUCCUUCCUAUUAUUCCUAUUAUUUAAAUCAAUUUUUAUUUUGCAAGACUACUGGUAAAGAUUUUGGAAUGAAAUGUUUCUGGGGAACCGAGUCACCCUAAUUUAAAAAAUAAAAAUAUCUCAGUAAUUUGGACAAUAGGUUUAAUGUAUGAGGUUAAAUAUAUACCUGCUUAUUAUAAAUAUGCAGAAUCAUUUCUUGUUUAGAAAAUAUUUCAAAUAUUUUAUGGAAUAAUUACAGAUUAUUUGUGUUCAGUUGGCAAUGUUCUAGCCGAACAACUUAUAAUUAAAAAUGUAAAUAAAGAAGUGUCAUUAGUCUAAAAA